CGGUGAAUACAGGUCUGGAAGUCUGAGG
rnacentral:piRNA from 1 species